rnacentral:sRNA from 1 species
CUAUAACACGAACCGUGUGGGUGAGUAACCUGCGUUCAGGUUCGAGCCGAGCGAAGCGAGACAGCAACGCACAGCGUUGACCCGAAGGGCGAGUCCACAGGACGAGUCAUCCCGCACGACCCACCA